rnacentral:rRNA from 1 species
CCUACGGGGGGCAGCAGUGGGGAAUAUUGCACAAUGGGGGAAACCCUGAUGCAGCAACGCCGCGUGAGCGAUGAAGGCCUUCGGGUCGUAAAGCUCUGUCCUAAGGGAAGAAUACUGACGGUACCUUAGGAGGAAGCCCCGGCUAACUACGUGCCAGCAGCCGCAGUAAUACGUAGGGGGCUAGCGUUAUCCGGAAUUACUGGGCGUAAAGGGUGCGUAGGCGGCCCUUCAAGUCAGAGGUGAAAGGCUACGGCUCAACCGUAGUAAGCCUUUGAAACUGUAGGGCUUGAGUGCAGGAGAGGGGAGUGGAAAUCCCAGUGUGGCGGGGAGAUGCGUGGAGAUAGGGGGGAGAACAAGUGGCGAGGGCGGCUCUCUGGACUGUAACUGACGCUGAGGCACGAAAGCGUGGGGAGCGAACAGGAUUAGAUACCCUAGUAGUC